rnacentral:lncRNA from 1 species
ACUUCCUAGAAACACACAAGUAUGAAAGCUGCCUCAGCCCUCCCUGAACUUUCCCUGUAAACACAGCAGCUGACAGUCCUGCAUCCCCGCUGGGUGGAUCCCGCAACUCCAAGUGGGGAAUGGCACUUCUUGUUUUUAAUUAGCCAAGGUGAAAAGGUGAAUUAAAACUGGCUGCUUGGCAAGCUGGAGCAAGGGGCUGACUUCGGAGGGGCUGCGACCUCCCCCCGAGAAAUGGGUGGGGAGUUUCAGAAGGACGGUGCACGCGAGUGUGCGCGCGUGUGUGCGCGCGUGAGUGUGUGUAUGUGUGUCUUUUUCUGAAUGAACAGUCUCACAGAAAGUGACUGGAAAAGCAGUUCUGGGGAAUCUGCAGGCGGUUCCUGGGUACCCAGCGCCUAAACUGAACUCCUCCCUUGGAAUGUCCGGGUACUCUCAGCUUGGAAACAACUGUCCUAAGCGGGAGGGUGGUUUCCUGUGACAUCUCCAAACACAGCCUGACAAAUGGCACUUGGGGAUCGUGUUUUCUGGUGACAACAGACUAGGUCGCGGUGUGUGACAGAACUGCUCGAGCUGCCUCUGAAGGAAAAGUCGCCUGUUCAACUCCCGAGCUCAGGGGCCAAAGUGAAGACCAGAGGAAAGGGGAACAUUUGCCCAGGAAGUAGCAUGGCAUCGGCUGGGCACAUCUUCACCUGGGUCCUGGGGGGGUUGCUCCUCGAGUUUUGGAGUGGAGGUCAUGCAACAGAAACCACCCACCCCCGGUUACGCCUCUCCUACAAAGAUUCCAGUUGGAUGGAGGAUUCUCUGACUUGGAGUUGGACUGGAGGAACUGGAGCCCUGGAGGAACUCGUGCAGGAGACCUCAGACUACUUUUCCAUUUUAGAAGGUCACCAUUGGUGAGUGAAAGGCUGACUUAGUGACCCCACCUUUCUGGAGGCUUAAAGCCUCCAAGAAAGGCCCAUUGUCUUGAGACAAUUUUUCCCCUGGCCGGGGCUUAGAAAUUCUAACUCUUUCUCUCUCUCUCUUUGUCUCUCUCUGUCUCUCUGUCUCUCUCUCUGUCUCUGUCUCUCUCUCUUCCCCCUUUUCUCUCUUCCUUAAUAUCUUCCCUCUAUUGUAAAUAAAACUACCAUAAAUUCAUUUUACUUUAGUAAU